rnacentral:lncRNA from 1 species
GUGGAAAACACCUGCCCAGUUCUCAGAGCUGAUCUAUUAGUGCGGUAAAUGCUGUAGCAGAUGUUCCUGACCGGCGAGGGCCGCGCCGGGCUGUUGCGGCCCGUGUCGGGCGCGCCGUGGAAACGCUGAGAUCAGAGGCCAGCCGCGCCGCCAGGCUGGAUCCCGGGGUGGGAGGCUCCAGAUGCCUCCCUGGGCCCUGAGCAGCCACAAAAGCUGCAAGGACAUUCAAGGUCACCUGGUCGGGCCAUGCAUUUCUGCACCUGGGAGACUGAACAUCACCAAGGAGAGGCGCCUUCCCCCAAGUCACCACGGAAAAGAAACUCAGUGGCUGCAUGUGGACCCAGGAGGCUGAGCUGACUCACUUGUGCCCCAGUGCCUUCUACCAGAGAACCCCAGAUCAUUUAGGAGAUUUUCAGUCUAGACUUCUACGAGGCCAUUUGUCCUGCUCUUGCAGGAGAAGAAGCUGGGCCAAGCAGCUGAGAAGAGAGCUGAGGGCCAAAGCCCUGCCCUGGGGUGCAGGGGGUCCUGUAGGACUGGUCCCCCAGGCAGAUGGGAAGCUCCUCUGCAAAGCCCAAGAAGAGGGCUUCCGGGCCAGGGAGGACUCGUUCCCCAAAGUUACACGGGGCGGGAUCCGCCUAGCUGUGCUGUGGGCGGCCAGGUGCCCUUGCCCCCCUUACUGCCACACCCGCUGGUGGCUUCUUACCGUGGGCGCCUGCAAUUCCACCAGGAGCCUCCUCCGCUCGGGACCACCUUGGUUGACCCUCCAGACAGGCCGGAAGCACCAGGAAUUCAACACCCGGAGAGAAGCCCGGGAGCCACAACGAUGCCCUCUCACCCCUCAGAUGGGACAAAUCUGAGCCGGGGCCAACACCAAGGUUCUCAGCCAGGUGUGUCACUGGCCGUUUCCGGAGGCGCCAGGGUUGGAUGUCACCGUUGGCAGCCAGGGGGUAGAGGUUACGGUGCUGUAAACAUCAUGGGGUGCAGUGCUCUGAUCAGCCCCUCACAGCCAAGGCAGACUCAGCCCAAAAUGUCAUAGGGCCGAGGUUGGGAAACCCCAUCCUCCAGGUGUAACAGAGGGGCCAGCGGGAUGGAGCCCCGAUGCCUAUGGUGAUAACCUGCGGCCCACAUCCCAAGUCCCCUUCCUGUGUCCUGGGAUCGCCCCCCCACAGAACCCAGCUCGCUAGGACCCUCACCUCAGAAUCUGUUUCUGGGAGGACCUGACUGAUCACCCAUUCCUACAGUCAUGGGGAGAGCCUUAGCAACUUCCAUCCCAGCUGUUUCCUCCUGCUACACACGCUCAGUCCUAGGGACUCGCGCACACGGGUGGGGCCGCCAGAGGGGGCGCACCAGGCCAGCAUGGUGGACCAGCGAGGGGAGCUGUACUCCCCCUACAAAGUGAUAGAAGACGGGGACAAACCCACGCGACCCAUUGGACUCCAGCUGACUUCUUUUCAACAAUUGAUAAGCUGAUAACCAAAAAAAAAUUAAAAUUAAAAAAAGUAAAGUCACGCAUGGUGACACACACCUGUAAUCCCAGUAUCUGGGAAAGAGGCUGAAGCAGGAAGAUAGCCAUGAGUUCAAGGCCAGCCUGGACUGCAUAGUGAGACCCUGUGUCCAAAAACCAACACACACGCACGCACGCGCGGACAUGCGCACUCACAGAGGUAAGCUAAUUUCAGAAUUCCUACGGAUGUGCAAGAAACCAAGCACAAAAAAAAGAAAAAAAAGAAAAAGGAAAAGAAACCAACCGCAGCCAAAGCAAUCUUGAAAAAGAACCGAGCAGGACUCUCACCUCCUGAUUUCAGAACUUGCUACAAAGUAACCACAACCAAGAGGCUGCUGAAGUGGCACAGUGCAGACGGAUAGAGCAAGGGCUGACAAAAGUUAACUCAGAAUGAAUUAAAACCUACAUGUAAGGGCUAAAUCUCUCAGAAGAAAAUGUGGAGGUAAACUUCAUAGCUUUGGGUUUGGCAAAGGAUUCUCAAAUACGACCCCAAAAGCAUAAGCAAUGAAAGAAAAAAAGUUCAUGCCUCUGGCUGGAUGUGGUGGUACACACUGAAAUCCCAGCACUCUGGGAGGCUGAGGCGGGAGGACAGCAAGUUCAAGCCUAGCCUGGGCCACUUACUGACUUAGCGAGACCCUGUGUCAAAAUAAAAAAUAAAAAGGGCUGGACAGGCCACAGACGUACAAGGUGUGGGAUUAGGCUGCACAGUGGGGAGAGGUUCUCUCAGCAGACAACAGGUUCAGCAACCACAGAUUUCCCUGGCCAGAUGUUUUCCAAUUUGUUUUGUGUUUGUUUGUUUGUUUGUUUUGAGACAGGGUCUGGCUAUAUAGUUCAGGCUGACCUGGAAUUUAUAGCUAUCCUCCUGCCUCAGCCUCUUGAGUGCUGGGAUUACAGCCAUGCACCACCAUGUAUGGCUUAUUUUCCAGUUUGUUCCUGGCCUCUGUGAUUCUCUACUCUCAUAUACGUGCCUCCAUCAACUGAAGAGGAUUUCAAAAAUGUUUCUUCUAGCAUUUUAAAUAUUUUGUAGCUGAUAGGUUUAUAAAUCUUAGUCAUCACAUACAUAAUUAUAGAUACAUAUUAUAGAGAGAGGAAUUUUAAUCCCAGCUGGGCAUAAUGGCACACACCUGUCAUCCCACCUACUCAGGGAGCUGAGGCAGGAGGAUCACAAGUUCAAGCCCAGCCUCGCAACUUAGCAAGAUCUUGUCUCUUAAAAAUUAAAAAAAGGUUGGGGAUGAAGCUUAGCUCUCUGUGGAUUCAAUCCCAGUGCCACAAAAAUAAAUAUAAUAAAAUCUCUUUGUUCCUUGUCCAGUGUUCAUAGUUUCAGCAAAUAAUCAUUAAGCACCUACUGUGUGCCAUGAACCGUGCUAAGGAUCCAGGGAGAAACAAGGCACAGGUGUCCCUGUUGUUUACAGACACCAGGCAACCAAAG